CGGAGUCUCAGCUGUACAAGCAGCUCUGCUUCUACGACUACAUCUUCGACUUCCAAAAGGCGUGCGUCAUGAAUAAAGAUGACCACAUUCGCAACGACAGCUUGAGGAAAGCGUACAUGGUGCUACGUAACGAGGUUCUCAGAGUCCUCAGCCUGAGCGCCUACUCUCAAGUGGACCUCGACGGCCUCUUUGCUAACCUCUUCAUGAAGACCAGCAAGUGAAAUAUCAAAUUUAUUGAUCAAUUACAUCGAAUUUAUGGAUGAAUUGCGGCAAAUUUAUGGAUGAAUUGCAUAAAAUUUAUGGAUGAAUGGUGGCGAAUUUAUGGAUGAAUUGCGGCGAAUUUAUGGAUGAAUUGCGUUAAAUUUAUUUGGAAUUGCGUAAAAUUUAUGGAUAAAUUAUGUCAAUUCUUCGUAUGAAUUACGUCAAAUCUUUGGAUGAAUUGCGGCAAAUUUAUGAAUGAAUGACAGCGAAUUUAUGGAUGAAUUGUGACGAGUUUAUGGUUGAAUUACGUCAAAUUUAUUGAUAAAUGGCGGCAAAUUUAUGGAUGAAUUGUGGCAAAUUUAUGGAUGAAUUGCGGCAAAUUUAUGGAUGAAUGGCGGCAAAUCUAUGGAUGAAUUACAUCAAUUUACGGAUCAAUUACAUCAAAUUUAUGGAUGAAAUGCGUCAAAUUGAUGGAUGAAUUGCGUAAAAUUGAUGGAUGAACUACAUCAAUUUAUGGAUGAAAAAUAUCAGUUUGUGGAUGAUUUACACGAAGUUUAUAUAGAAUGUGUUGAUGUAGAGCUUGACUUGCUGACCAAUUCUCAAGAAUGUUAUUGCUGAUUCUUGGGCUUAAUUAACGUAAACAAAUAAAGAGCAAUUACCUCUACUAUUUGCUGCUGCCAAUUAAAGUGAAAUUGUAUUUGAUUAUUCAGUUUGAUUGGAAGCAUAAUUUCAAGUUACAGUUGAAUAUUGAAUGAUAUUUGGUAUGAAUAUUAUAGAAAACCUUUUCAUACUCGCACAAAAUAUGUGAAUGUUAUAAAGUGUAUGCGAGUUGGCGGGGGGGUAUUUUUCUGGACAAUUUAGUGACUUGUUCAAUGGACGAAAUGGAGGAAUAUCCUUCUUGUUUGCUGUACAUAAUAACAUAGCAUAAAGUUAUUCUCCGUGAUUUGAAUGAACCGCAUGGAAAUUAACGGUUAGAAAAACUAAUGUGAAUAUGAAUUAUCCCGUGUAUUCAAAUGGGGGUAUUGUGGGUAAAUACAUGUGAAUAAAUAAAUCUGUAGCAAUAAUUCCUAGAUUUUAUUGCCACAUUUUUCAAUAUGUUACUUAAUAAUUGAUUUGUAAUUGGUUUGGUUUGAUAUGAUCGGUUUGAGGGCUGGGUAGAUUUAGUUGACUGCGUUGCCACUGUCGUGGUGAAAUGUACGUAGAUAUUUAGUGACUUUUAUCCCUAGUUUUUGAGUUGUGUUUCUUGAUUUGACUUUAAAUACCUGAAUUGAACUAUACUUCUUCCACAUUGACCUGUGCAACAUGACGUUGUAAAUACUUUAGUUGAACUAAGUUCUUCAACAUCCUCCCGGUGUUCAAAUUCUUUUGUUACUGAGUAUGUCUUUUAAAUACACUUUACAUAGUCUU